CAUGGUAAAAGUGGAGCAUUUAUUGCAUCAAACGAUUAGAGCAUCAGUGCCAGCAUGCAAGUUACGCAACCGUUGUUUCUGCCACAGGUGCCAGGUGGGACAUCCAGUCAGGAGCCCUUGUUGAUGCCCGUCUUAAGGAGUUAACAUCCACGAUGCCAGUCAUCUUCGCCAAAGCCAUACCCGCAGACAGACAAGAAGUUAAGCAUGCCUAUGAGUGCCCCGUUUACAAAACCAAAGCGAGAGGCCUCACCUACGUGUGGACGUUCAGGCUAAGGAGCAAAGACAGGAUAGCUAAGUGGGUCCUGGCAGGUGUAGCUCUACUACUAGAAGCAUAAACGGCCUUGGCACAACUUGCAUUCUUCCUGCUUCAGCCAGACCCAGUGAGCAUGCUUCAGUAACAGGUAUACAUUCUUUUGUUAGAGAAUUAUUCCUUGAGGAGGGGGAAUCACAGUACACAAGAACAAAAACGCUAAACACCUCUAAGGGAUGUAUACUCAUUGAUUUUAGCUUUCCCCAACACCGUGGCUU
rnacentral:lncRNA from 1 species